GGCACUCUUUAUUGAAAGUAUAAUUAUUAGUUUAGUCAAAUAGUAGUAUUAAAAGUUCAAAUGAUGUAACUAUGUUAAUAGCAAAUGAAAGCUGUGCAUGCUUAUUAAUAGGACCACUAUUCUGUUAUAAGAAUAAGCCAAAAAGCAAGCCAGAAAUAGCAAGUUUUGGCAAUGACACAUAGGCAAAGGGAGACCUUGUCUGAUAGAUGAUAAAAAUAUGUACAAUUUAUAGUUCAUUGUUUUGUUGGCAUUUAUUUAAAGGCAUUUAGAGAAUUAAUUACAGAAAACAUGAAAUAGUAAAAUGAUUUAGUAAUAAGUAUGAUUUAGUAAAUAGUUCUAUAGCUGAUAAUAUCCUAUA